rnacentral:rRNA from 1 species
GGUUAAGCGACUAAGCGUACACGGUGGAUGCCCUGGCAGUCAGAGGCGAUGAAGGGCGUGCUAAUCUGCGAUAAGCGCCGGUAAGGUGAUAUGAACCGUUAUAACCGGCGAUACCCGAAUGGGGAAACCCAGUGUGAUUCGUCACACUAUCAUUAACUGAAUCCAUAGGUUAAUGAGGCGAACCGGGGGAACUGAAACAUCUAAGUACCCCGAGGAAAAGAAAUCAACCGAGAUUCCCCCAGUAGCGGCGAGCGAACGGGGAGGAGCCCAGAGCCUGAAUCAGCAUGUGUGUUAGUGGAAGCGUCUGGAAAGGCGCGCGAUACAGGGUGACAGCCCCGUACACAAAAGCGUAUGUGCUGUGAGCUCGAUGAGUAGGGCGGGACACGUGGUAUCCUGUCUGAAUAUGGGGGGACCAUCCUCCAAGGCUAAAUACUCCUGACUGACCGAUAGUGAACCAGUACCGUGAGGGAAAGGCGAAAAGAACCCCGGCGAGGGGAGUGAAAAAGAACCUGAAACCGUGUACGUACAAGCAGUGGGAGCACCCUUUGGGGUGUGACUGCGUACCUUUUGUAUAAUGGGUCAGCGACUUAUAUUCUGUAGCAAGGUUAACCGAAUAGGGGAGCCGGAGGGAAACCGAGUCUUAAUUGGGCGUUAAGUU